CAUAUAGAAAUUAGAAAACAAAAUAAUAAUAAUUUAAUAAAUCAGUCGAAAGGGAUGGAAAUAAAUUAUAGCUGGUAUAAUCUGAUAGAUGGCGCUAGAAUAAAAUAAAUAGUUAUGUAUUAAGACGUCAUCACUUGAUUACUGUUGUGAAGUGUUGAUUGUAUACGGAUGCUAAUCAUGUUAAAAAUCUGUAGUGCUUUGGAAUUAUCUAUACAAUUGUUUGUCAAAGAAUAUUUUAAUAAUUGGUUGGUUUUAGUAUGUUUAUUAUACACGUGUAUGGAAAAGUUUCUUAAACUUGAUUCCUACAAAUAUGUGCAAAGUUUACCACCCCUACCAAUGGAAAUAUCAUUGUAAUUACCACCAGCGGUUAUUGUAAGUUUUUCUCCAAAAUUUAUAAUUUUGGUGUAGAUUUACAUCUAUGUCGUGUUUUAGUUAAACAUUUUACGUUCUUUGUUAUUAUUUUAGCACUGAAGAGGGACUGGAAAAUAUUAGACCAGCCCGAAAUGCAUUUGAUGUAGUCUUUAUAAAAUAAAUUUAAUUUGCCAAUAAGAUUGCUGUGAGAUUUGUCUACCAAGAAUAAUUUUGGAUUACAGAGACAAAAAUCGUCAUAUUAACAUAUUAUUAUUAAAUAAAAGAUAAUCAUAUAUUAAAACUAGGAAUACAGCCAGAACGGGGUCAUAGGGGAAUUAUACAUACAAUAAGACUGGUUGUCUUUAGUCCAAGUUCUCAACUUUCUCGUUCUUUUUUCACUCAGUCUGUCAUUUUCUCCCUGUUAUUGAUAAGUCUUUGAACAGAAAAAGGUAUCCCAUGCUCCUUUUACAUUCCUUAUAUACAAAUCACCCCUAGUGCCCCCUCAUGUUACAUUCCGAAAUACAAAUUAGAAAAAGAAAAUACAGACAAAUAUUAUAACACAUGAAUAAUUACAUUGACAUAACAUUAUUAGUAAUACACAUAAAUAAUAUUUUAGUAUGAAAGAAACACCACAUUUAUGCUUUUGCGAAGGGAGGAAAAAAAAUAUAUAUAUGUUACUGUAAAUGCUUGAACUAUGGUAAAUCCUAAGAUCUUCCAGUAAAACCUAAGAUUUACCAAAUCUUUGUGGUGAAAGUCCGAAAUGUUCUGCGAUCAUCGUUAAUUUCGAACUUUUACCAGCAUUUACUCGGUAUAUCUUAGGUUUUACCUCAGAGACAUGGUAAAUGUUGAAAAAAUAGUCACUGCUUUCUGCACCGCACCGCGUUACCGCCUUUGCUCGCCACAUUUCAUCGUUUGACACGUUAGAACACGCACGUUAAUUCUAAUCUUGUUUGAGAUUUCGUUGUCUAAAAGUUAUUUAUGAAUCAAGAUGAGUAUGAAACAGAGAUUUUAUGAAAUAAUGGACGAGCUCGUUGCAAGCAAAAAAGAUAAUAACUUUCACUUAAUAGAGACAAAUACGCAGUGUUUGGAGGAAGUAAAAGCUGCAAAGAACAUGAAAAAGAAACAAGCUGUUCAUUACAGACGUAUAAAGCGUUACGACAUUUUGACUAUAAGCAGCGAAGAAAAACUAAUUGCACCUAUGAAGGAGGAGGAUGGAGAAAUAAGGUAUUACAUUUGUUACGAGAACUUAUUCAAUAUUCUCGAAGAAACGCGUGUUGCUGUUGGCCACGAUGGAAGGACACGGAUGCUUAAGGAAUGUAACCGCAAGUAUAAAAAUGUAACAGUUGAGGCUACUAUGACAUAUUUGAAGCUAUGUCAACCUUGCCAAAAGAAACAGAAGACUUUGAAAAAAGGCAUUAUGUCAGACCUAUACUUCACAGUGAAAUGAACUCACGCUGUUAGGUUGAUCUAAUAGAUCUACACACUACCCCAGAUGGAAAUUAUAAAUUUAUUUUAGUCUACCAAGACCAUCUUACCAAAUCUGUGAUCUAUCAUGCGCUUCAAACUAAACGCACCAUAGAAGUUGCAUACCAUCUUUUGGAUAUUUUCACCACUUUUGGAGCGCCAAGCAUACUUCAUUCCGAUAAUGGUUGAGAAUUCUCUAACCAAGUUAUUGAGAGUUUAUGUUCUAUGUGGCGGAUGUAAAAAUCGUACAUGGAAACGCAAGACAUAGCCAAAGUCAAGGAUCAGCGUAGCGUGCUAAUCAAGACAUAGAAAAUAUGUUAAGUACGUGGAUGGAAACCAAUCAGUUAUCAAAGUGGUCAGAGGGUUUAAGAUUCAUUCAGGCAAUGAAAAAUAGAGCAUAUCACGAGGGAAUCAAAUGUUCCCCCCACGAAGCAAUGUUUGGUUGUCCAAUGAAAAUGGGCCUUGCAACUUCAGCAAUUCCUGGUGAUAUGAUUAGAGUUAUAAGAUCUGAAGAAGAUUUAGAGAAGUUGUUGCAUUUGCAUGACAAUAUGGAACAAAAUAAUGACGUCGAAAAUGCAAUCGAACAGGACAAGGAAGAAAGCAUUGUUGAAAAUGAGUCAGACAGGGUUAGAUUAAAGGUAAAGAAGUGAGUCUUCGAGAAGUUGUCGCAAAAUUGUCUUUAACCGGAGGACAAGGUUUCAAGAAGUGCAACUGCUUAAAAAUAUGCCUAAUGAAGAAGUGCCCUUGCAAGUCAUCAGGAUUACUUUAUAAUUCUAAAUGCCAUGAUAGCUCUUCAUGUUGUAACAAGUAAAAUCCUUUUUUACUUUUAUUAAAUGAACAAUGAAUACCAAAUGAUUAGAAAAAAUACUGUACUGUGAUUACUGAUUAGCUUAGCCGGGUAGGCUAUUAUAUUAUUUUUUACAAGAUAAUUUAAUUUUUGUUACGUUAAAAAAGUAUUUUUAAACUGUUUCGCUAGUUAUUAAUAAAUAGGACUUAGUAAGUUUAUAAUAGUUGCAAUAAAUGAUUAUUAAAAUGCUCAUAGUUUUAUUUCCAAAACCAACAUUUACUAAUUGUCUUUAGUAAAACCUAGCAUGUACCAAAUUCUAAUGGUAAAAGUCCGGAAAAUUAUCUCACUUUAUAAAAAUCCUUACAUUUACCAACUCAUGUUGGUAAAUCCGAAGAUUUACAAGUAAAACCUAGGAUUUACCAGUAUACGGGCUUUUACAGUAACAUAUAUAUAUAUGGUGGGCACCACCACACAUCUAAAGGAAGUAGAACUGAUUCUUCUGCAUCAAACAAGAAAAGAAAAACUUUUAUCUUUUGGAAUGUAAAGUUAACAUUAUUAAAGACUCCGAUACAAAAAUGAACAUUUAUGA